UUUGCAGUGUAUUGUAAGUUCCACAAAUAUUGAGCAGCAGAUGAUGCUAACCUGGCACCACCUGGGGAAUGAGUCCAGAAACAGCCAUGCCAGGGUGUUUGGACCUGCUCUGCCAUUUUUAUUAAACUGCACAAUAACUCCUGAGAUUGGCUGAGUGCCAAAAACCAUUCUGAGGUGUAAUUCACACAUAUGAACAAUGACCUUGCUGGAAGUUGUACUUCUAGUUCCUGCUUCUGGUUGACCACAAAAUUAGAGAUGGUUAGUCUGUGGAUGGCCAGCAUGGUGACUUAGUGGUUA